rnacentral:rRNA from 1 species
GUGAACGCUGGCGGUAGGCCUAACACAUGCAAGUCGAACGGCAGCACAGUAAGAGCUUGCUCUUACGGGUGGCGAGUGGCGGACGGGUGAGGAAUACAUCGGAAUCUACUUUUUCGUGGGGGAUAACGUAGGGAAACUUACGCUAAUACCGCAUACGACCUACGGGUGAAAGCAGGGGAUCUUCGGACCUUGCGCGAUUGAAUGAGCCGAUGUCGGAUUAGCUAGUUGGCGGGGUAAAGGCCCACCAAGGCGACGAUCCGUAGCUGGUCUGAGAGGAUGAUCAGCCACACUGGAACUGAGACACGGUCCAGACUCCUACGGGAGGCAGCAGUGGGGAAUAUUGGACAAAGGGCGCAAGCCUGAUCCAGCCAUACCGCGUGGGUGAAGAAGGCCUUCGGGUUGUAAAGCCCUUUUGUCGGGAAAGAAAAGCAGCAGGUUAAUACCCCGCUGUUCUGACGGUACCCAAAGAAUAAGCACCGGCUAACUUCGUG